UGUGGGAGCUAGCCUGCUAGCGAUGGCGUCGUGUCAGUCACCACCUUCAUGACCGACAGACUGAAAUCGCUAGCAGGCUAGCUCCCACA
rnacentral:misc_RNA from 1 species